rnacentral:lncRNA from 1 species
ACUGGGGCAGCCGCGGGCGCCGGCGCAGGAAGCCUCCCUUCCCCCUCGGCCCGCCGGGCCCGGAAAGGCGGGAGCUGGGAGGAAGCUUCGCGGCGGCCGAGGCUGCGGGAGAGGACGAGCGCGCCCCAUUUUCUCCGCGGAGCCGCCCCCAGCCCUCCUGACCUCCGCGCCCCUUUAAAUCCUCCGCGGGUCUCCCCGCCCUUCCUGCUGGGAUGGGAGGAGACCUUAGCGGACGGUGCUCUGCCUGUGCGGCCAGAUGAAAGGGGGACUGGGAAAAUGAAGCCAGCUCUUGCCGGUGGGCUGGGGGCGGCAGGAAUCCGGAGCUCUGGCCGCUGGCGGCACUGGGCUUGAGGGAAGCGGCGGCACGGGAGGCGUCCUCGGGAGCCGGGGUCUCACGGUCCAGGGAACGCCCCCGCCGCCGGCUUGCUAGCGAGGCAUCCCGUGAACAAAGAGGCCUGCUUCACCCUACUGGGGCGAUCGCCCCCCGGAGGGAAGGGUUUCCACCUUGCACGGCACUCGCGCGUUUUGUCUGUUGGUUGUGAGCACAAAGAAAGGAUUCAUAUGGGAGCGAAUAGAACAAGUAAAGACGGUCAGCUGUGGUCACAGUGGAGGAACUGAAGAGUUUAGACUUCACCAGCUCUUAGAGCCCUGUUUUCUUUGAAGUGGUUACAACCGAGUACUUUGGUGUGGCCUAAAGAGUUUGAAGGUAUACAGUUAAAGGACCUGGAAAUAAGAUUGGGCUGGCCAUUGGGGCCUUGCUUUUCUCAUCUGUGAGAUGAUAGUUGUGAAAAUGAGAUUAGACUGUAUGAAAUAUUCUUCGUAAGCCAUAGGAUAUGUUAUACAAAUGCUUUAGUUAUUGAAACAUCUAUAAAUUGGUAUACAAGUCAUGAUUACUGUAGUUGCAAUACGGAGUUGGUGGGGUGCUUCAGAUUUGCAAGCUGUAGGAGGUGGGAACAGGACUGAAGGGCUAUGUGCUGAUGAAUCUCCUUCAGCAUUGCUGUGGAAUGGAUAUGCUUCCCCAAAAUUCAUAUGUGUUGAAGCUCUAACCCCUAAUGUGACUAUAUCUGGAAAUAGGGUCUUUAGGAGCUCGCUCUCUCCUCUGCCAUGUGAGGGUACAGCAAGAAGGCGGCCAUCUGCAAGCCAGAAACAAAGCCCUCAACAGAACCUGACCAUGCUGGCACCCUGAUCUCAGAUUUCCAGGCUCCGGAACUAUGAGAAAUACAUUUUUUUGCUUAAACCACUCUGUGAUAUUUUGUUAUGGCAGCCAGAGCAGACUAAGACAAAUAUGUCUUCGCUUGGAGCUAAGCGCCCCUCCUACCACCUCCACCACCUGGCGUUUUGUUCAGCACUUCCACAGUUGUCUCAUUUUUAAUUUGUAACCGUGUAAGUUGGAAUUGGCAAGAUUUAUUUUAAAAUGAAGAAGCUAAGAAACAAAAAGAUUAAAAGGCCUGCUGAAAGUCACACAGAUUGUGAAUGACUGAACUAGAACUAGAGUCUCCCCAGACAACAUCUAGUCCCUAGCAUCUGCCAGGUUCUGGGCUAGAUUCGAGGGAUAAGGAGAUGAAUAUGAUUUAGAGGUGGAGAGGGUACAGUCUGGUCAAGCAAAGAAACGUGAACAAAUCAUUACAUCAAGUAGAAAAGUCUGCAAGGAUUCAUUGGCCCAGCAGGUAAAUGGGAAGGGUGGCCCAGGCAGGGGAAGACUGGGAAAACAUGGCUUUGGGGGAGCCACAAGUGCUGCUGAGGAUAGGGUACAGUACAGAGAAGGAAGGGGCAGAGAUGUCCCAGAUGCCAUUGGAGAUUCAGCUUUGCUUUCACUUUCCCAAGGACUCAUGGCCUCCCUAGGGCCCUGGCCAAAGGGGAGACCUGAACUUAGAGAUCAAGGCUAAGAGUCCUUAAGGACCUAAUGUGCCUAAGGAAAAGCAAUAGUAAACUCUUCCAUUAGUUUUAUGUUGACCCUUCUAUAGAAAAUUAUCUUUGUUUUUGGACCUAGCUAGGGUCUCCUAAGGGGUUAGUUUAUUAAAGCCCUAACCAUUUGUAAGUAAGUGAUAAUGUGCUUUAAUUAGAAGAUAUGAAUUGCACACCUAUGACUUUUUCUAGCAAGGUCCUACCCCUAAUCAAUGUUUUCGCAGAAUCUCUGUCUCCAGAGGCACAGAGUCAUACUUAAAUGAAUACAUGAUCAUCCCUCACCAUAGAAAUGCAGAUAAGGACCUUAACUAAUGAAGGGGCUAAUAUCUGUCUCCUUUUGGGAACAUUUGUACAAGCUCUUACCAGUUAUAGUCAGAUAGGAGGAUUUAUUUGUCUACUGUUUUCUUUAUGGGUACAAUAUGCGUAUUUGUGUAUAUCAUAUAUCCUUACUCUGACUUUUAUUAUUUAUUAAAUCACAGCACUCAGAUGCUCUCUUGGGGAGGGACUGUAGGUUAGGGACAAAAUAGGCCCAGUAGGGCCCUUGCACUUAGAGCCCCUCUCCCAGAAACCAGGUUCCAGAAGCUUGCCCACCUCCCAGGGGUACUCAUUCUGAGUACCAGGCCAACAGCCAAUUUAAGGGCUGGUUCUGGGAUUUCAGCAUCUCUCUGCCUGGUACCAAAUGAAGACUAUCAUCUCUGCCUCACUGGAGACCUCAUUAGGACUUGAACUCUGGUCUUUGUUCCUUCCCAGUAGGUUCUAUACAGUGGAGAAGGUGUGGGGAGGAGGGGGGUCAGGUAAGCCCACAACUCCCAGAACAGCAGGAGUCCAACAGCCUCUGAGAACCAGGAAGUGAGUAAACAAGCAAUUACCAGAAAGACAGGGAAGAGCCCGGUAACCCGAGAAGUGGUUCAAAUUAUUUGAUUCCACUCCCUGCCUUCCCUCAAGCCCUCCUCCCCACACCUCCCACCCAGCUUCUCAAGGCUAAUUUCACCCCCCUCUGCCUACUCUCCAAGCGAAAUUCCACCCCAGUGGAAGCCGGGUCCCAGGGAUGAGAGGUGGACGUUACAUUCUGGCUAGGGUCUUCAGGGCUUGGCCAUUGUCAGUAUCGCUGCCGUUUGUCUGUAUGGCAAGAAGGGGAUAGAAUCAGAUGGUGCUGCCUGCUAUCCUUCCUACUCAGUACCCCUCCAGCCUUCCAAUCCCUUUGGGGAAGAGGGGAGUUUAGGAAGAAAGAGGUGACUCAGACCUUGCUUCUCAGAAACUAGAGCGGGAACCCAGCUGGGCUGCAGGAAGUGUGGGGUCGGAGUGAAAAGAAACCUCACAUUCCUUUCUCUCUUUUGGCUGGGGAGCUCCCUCUUGCCUACUGCUUCUAGGCUAGUCCCCAUUUUUUCACUGUCUCUGGUUCUGCUGAUACCAGAGCAGAUCCUGGCAGAAAAGGUUUUGACAUAGAAAAGAUUAAGGUCUAGCACUUAUCUUCAAAGAGUUUACAACUUGGUGAGAAUAAGAGAGGUAAGACAUUUCAGGAAAUUUUAAAAUAUGUACACAAAUAACAAGGCAAUGUACGAUAGAUGCCUCAGGAGAAGUGCCACUGUUGCUAUUGGCCCCAAUCAUUUCUCACCUGCAUUAUUGAACAGCCCUCUAACUGGACCAUGCUCCCCUGCCCCACUUAAAAGCCUUCCUUGGCUCCCUCACAUCUUUUAAGGUGAAACCAAACCCCCUUCCAUGGCAUGCCCAGUGUUUUGCAAUCUGACCCCUCUUAAUCCUCAGGGCCAUUCUUCACACCCGUGCUCCAAACAGAAGGAAGGAAGCAUUUGUGAUGUUCAGCUCCUACCAGCUCUCAAGGCCUCAGGGCCUUUGCACAUGCAGCUCUAUCUGCCUGGAAUGAUUUCCCCCUUAUUCCCUACUUGGCUAAGUCCAAUUUGCCAUUUGCGACUCAGCGCAGAAAUAACCUCCUCUUCGCAGGAACCCUUCCCUCACACUCUGUCUGGGUUAAGUAUUCCUCAUCAGUAUUCCUAUAUCACAGUAGUAUUAACCCUGGAUUGUAAUGAUCCAUUUUUCAUCCCUCUUCCCUCUAGAUAUCAACUUCCUUACUCAUCUUUGUACCCAGUGCCUGACACAAAGUAGACAAUAAAUGAUGGCUAAAUGAAAGGCUGACUGGCAGGCAGAGGAGUUCAUAGAGAAUAUGGGAAGUUAUUAGAGGCUUUUGAGUCAGAGACUGAUAACAUCACCAAAACUGUACUGUCAGAUGAGUAAUCCAUUAGUUAUAAGGUAGGGCUGGGGUGGGGGUGAGGGGGGCUUUGACGCGAAAUGGAGAACAGACUAAGAAGUGUUUGAAGAACGAAGAUGGUAUCAGUGGGAACUAGAAAGCAGGAAUAGAAGUGAACUACAUUGUGAAGAUAAUGCUGUGAGCUUAACGAGUGUUUAGAUGUGUUGGUAAGAGGUAUGGGGGAUGGGGGGUGGAGGUAGGGGGUAAGGCCAAGAUUUGCAACCCUGGUACCUGAGAAGAAAUGCGAGUGGAAGAAUCAGACAAGUCAGGAGAAGGCACUAAAUGCAGAUAGCAGUGGGGCGAGGGAAUCUGUGAGACGAGAUAUCUGUUUGUUUUUAGAAAUAGCUUCACUAAUUAGGACAGAGAGCAAACAGACUGGAGGAAUUUUGAGCCCUGGGUUGAGUUUUGUCUCUGGGUGGUCUAGGCAUGCAAAGACUAACAAGUUAGAGCCUCACCUUAUCUUUUCAGCAAACUGUGACAAAGGUCCAGUAAUGAUGCCGGUUUGUAAAUCACUUUCACACCUUUAGCAUGAAAGGAUCCCACUACCAAGUGGAGCUAUUAAUUCUUUUGCAUUCCCCCCACCCCCACGUUCCAGAGGAGUUUGCUGGGGGAUGAUGCUGUUUUUCCAUCUGAACGGGGCUAUGUUUUAUCAAAUACACUGCAGUUCUCAGUCCAUUACCUUUUUCUCCUCACAUUCUUCCUGUUUUCUGACUCUGAAUUUAUUUUAAUCUCGUGUUUCUCGUUAAAUCAUCACAGACAUCUGUCUCUCUUGCCUUCCCUAUCCGUCCACUCCACUCUCCUCUCUUACUCUUAACAUUCUUCUCUUGAUCUUCUUGUCAGUUGCCUUAAGAGACCUCAAACUGCUUGGCUUCUCUCCCUCCUCUCUCGGUAUCCGGAGCCUCUUUUUUGGACAUGUCUCAACCUGUUUUCAGUCUCAGACUAAUCCUCCAUAACACUGAAAAUGACAGAUGAGGUCAGACUUGGUGGGGAGGGAAGGAAGAGAAAAUUUUUACCCAGGAAACCAUGCUCAUUCAUAACUGGCUUUCCAAAUGAGAACAGACUACAAGUGCGCGUGUGCACGUGUGUGCAUGUGUGUUUUCUGCUGGCAAGAAUGACAAAUCCUGCUUUCCUCAUAGCACAUGUUUCCAUUCCAAUAUGUUUUAAACUCCUAAUCUAUAAAGGGGAUGAAGCAUCAGAAAUCUCUAUCUUUAGAUUAGUAGCUGGCAGCACUAGGGUUUCAGGAGUGAUCCUUUUAUUCUCCAGGAUCCCUUAGCAGUUUGUUACCUUGCCAACUGGUAUGCUGGAGUUUCAGCUGCAAGGUUCUUCGUGAGCUGGGAUUGAGGAGGGGAAUGCAGACUGCUGAUACUAACAAGGUCCCUGGAGUGAUUUAUUAGUGUCUCUUGUCUCCUUUUAUUUGACCGGAGAAGAAAAAGAAAGGGUUUAUUCCUCCUGAUAAGAGACUCAUAUUUAGGAGUUUAUGUAUUCAAAUCCCAUUCACCGUCACUCUAGCUGUUUUCUGCACCCAAUGGUUCUGCCUUAAGACAUGUGCAGGCCCUUUCAAUUGACCCCAGAUCCUUUCUAGCUGCCACCUGGUUCUUUUUUGCCUUUAUGCCAAAUUUCUUGGGGAAGGAGCUACAGCCAGGGCCCCCACAUCUUUCCACUCACUUAUAAUCUAGUUUUCUCUACCAUCUUCUACAGAACCUCUGUCAAAAUUCACUAGUUAAAACUUAGCUGAGCAUAGAGGCGUGUGCAUGUAGUGCCAGCUACUCGGGAGGCUGAGGCAGGAGGAUCACUUUGUCCAAGGAGUUCAAGGCUGCAGUAAGCUAUGAUUGCACCACUGCACUCCAGCCUGGGCAACAAAGACCCUGUCUCUAAAAGAAAAAAAAUGUGGCUGGGCACAGUGGCUCACACCUGUAAUCCCAGUAGUUUGAAAGUCUGAGGGCAGGAAGAUCUUUUGAGGUCAGGAGUUCAAGACCAACCUGGGCAACAUGGCGACACUUCAUCUCUACAAAAAAUAUAAACAUUAGUUGGCAUGGUGGUGCGCUCCUGUAGUCCCAACUACUUUGGGAGGCUGAGGCUGCAGUGAGCUGUGAUCGUUCCACUGCACUGUAGCCUGGGAGACACAGCAAGACCCUGUCUCAAAUAAUAAUAAUAAUUCACUAAUGGCAGUCUUAGUUCAAGGACAUUUUCUUUGCCCCAUCUCCCUUCACAGCAGCCAGACUCUACUCCUACCUCUCUGCAAACUGUUCCUUUUAACAGAGCCCUCUUCCUAUUCUAGCCCCUACCUCUAGGCUUCCUCAUCACUAGGUCUUAGCUUUCUGCUCUUUUUCCUUCCCUGUAGUUUCUUUAUUCUCACAGUUAAGCUGUAAACUUGACCAUGCCUCUCUAGGAAGCAGCACGUGAAGAGGCCCAGAAGCCUGCAAAUAAGUUACCUAAACUGCAGAUAGUUCGUAUGGCUGGAGGCAGCAUGUGAGAGAAGAAAUAACAAGACACAGCUGGACCUUGAGUGACCUAAAGCUGAGAAAUUCAUGCUUGAUUCUGAGAUCAGUGGAAAUAUCUGCUCUUUAAACUUUAAUGUGCAUAUUGAUCACCUGGGGAUCUUGUUAAACUGUAGAUUCAGUAGGUCUGAAGUGGGGCCUGAGAUACUCUCCAUUUUUCAUAAGCUCCCAGAUGAUACCCAUGGUCCCUGGACCAUACUUUAAGAAGCAAGCGACUAGCCGACACUUAACAUACUAUCAAGUUUUGGGGGGGUUCUAUGUUGUUUUGCGUCUUAACUGGAAUGUAAUGGUCGUGAGGGCCAGGGUCCUGUUGUCUGCAUCUUUGUAUUCCCUAUUCAUGAGUUUCUUCUGGGUGUUCCUGUCAAUGCUUAAUUGAUGGGAUCCAGGAGUGAGUUGUUUAUAUCUUUUAGCUUUGCUUUACAAACACUAAUUUAUCUUCUAAUCACAAUUGUGAGGCAAGUGGAUACUUUAUUUUAAAACUGUAAAUAGAAACCAACAAAGAUGAAUGACUUUUCAAAUCGUGAGUCACAUGUUCAGAGUCAAGACCACAGCCCUUUGCCCAGAGAGGUCUCAAGGAAUCAGUCCAGGGCUGAUUCUAACACUGCCUCUGCUUGGGUCCUCACUUGACCAUUCAUGAUGACCUGCUGCUCACUCUCUGGACCUCAUUUAGUCUUUUCUGCCUGGUAAAGUAAGAGACUCCCCGCUUCAUCUCCUGAGGGCAUUCAGGAGCCUUAGCAAGCUGCCAGCUCCAUGUUAGGCAGCCAGAUGCCUGAUGCUGAGGUGACUGAAAGGUUGGGAAGCAGACAGCUGGGCCAGCCCACGCACCAGAAUCGCCCCCACACCGCAUCUUUACAGCUGCUCUCUGCAGUGCAGGCUAGGAGCGCCUUUCAAAAUGCAUUCUGAAGAGGCAGGGGGGUGCGGGGAGAAACCGGCAGGAGCUGUAGAACAUAAUCACCCAAGCAGAGCAUCCCAUAUACCUCAACUUCAGUUUCUGACACUGAAUCUUUGCUUUUAGGGAUUUCUCCCAUGGCCCUAAAAAGAAAAGUCACUACACAGUCUCUUAAGUAGGUCACACAGAGUGCUAGCUGAUAAAUGCAGAUGCCAAGGCACUUUCACCCUUUUCCAAACCAAAAAUAAAACUUGGAAAUUGUCUGAAGAAAACAGGAGGUUGUGAUGCAGUUUAAGAAAAGCCAAGGAGAAAAAAGUGGGUGGGGUGCUCCUGCCCUAAAUUCACUCGGCCCAUAGCAGACCUUCUUGAGCAGAACUUGACUGAGUGGCAGUUCCUCCUCCACCUCCCCACAUCACUUCACAAUCCUGUAGCUCACUUCCCGCUGGUCACCUCUGCUGCACGACCCCAGGGGGUUAUGAGGACUCCCCACUCCCACUUUAGUGACUCUGUAAAAAGUCUCUAUUAAUCAAUCAAAGCCUAGAAGGGGGAGAUAAGGCAAAGAGGCACUUUUGGAUUUCUCCAUCUGAGCAGCUCUGUGAUUCAUUAUCUGUUCUAGAAAGCAGCACACGCAGUUCCAGCAAAAAAAAAAAAAAAAAAAAAAAAAAAAAAAAAAAAGUUGGGGUGGGGAGCGGAAAUGCCUUGUAGCCCACGUUCGGGCUCCCCUGGCUUUGCCUCUCCUUUCCUGCAUCUGGCCACAAGCCAAGUUGGGUUUCAGCUGCUGCUCCUGUUUCUAGGAUGUAUACUCCCCUACCCACCCCCUGCUAUUAUGAUGGAAUUGGCGGUCUGGUGAGACACAGUGAGAGGAUGAUUUCCAGCUAACACAGCUGUGGCUUGAUCUCCAGGGCCCAGAGUCUCUGGAGAUUCUUUGCAAGUCUCGUGGUCAGGAAAUCCAAAUCUCUGCUCCUUCUUAGCAGGCUGUAGCAUUCCCACUCACAGUUCUCUCCUUAGCAGUCAGAUUCUUCCCGAGGAAAAUAAUGAACAUGAGAGUCCUCAAGAGAGGGUGGAGGGAGGGGAGACAGAGAAAGACCCAGACAGACAGAAAUGGAAAGACAAAACAGCUACAGCGCUGAAGGAAGUAUCUGUGCCACAGAAGACAGGCAGAUCCUGUGACUGGCUAGAAAGAACGAACCAGAUGUGGAUCAACAUAGAGAAAAACUCAUGGAUGGUAUCUUGGAUUCUGGAAGAGGAUCAAGUGUAGAGAGUACCAAAGGAAAUCCUACACUUCAGAGACAACAUCAGUGUUUGCACAGAGGGAACAAAAUGGUUUUUCUUUUACCUCACAGCAUGCAAGUUUCCAACAGCUGCUCUGCCCCGACUUGAGAGGUGGAAUGGGUUGAAGAACAAGCAGGUGGGAACACAUGGCUUUCCGCACAUCCCUGAAUUCUAGAAAAACUGAAAGGAGCCUUGUCUUGGCAUCUGAUAGAACGAUUGGGCUGGGGCAACCUUGCAGAGGCCCCAUUCAUAGGGAAAAAGCAGAGGGCUGGGACCAGGACUGCCUUGGUGCUAAAUGGAUGGAAAAGGGGCAGCUGUCUCACCAUCCUGUAAGUUAGGGAUAUGGCUUACCACACAGGCCUAGAGGCUUCUUGUGACCAGGUCCCAGAAAACUUUAUUACAUAAAAAGUAGAUUUACUGCAAAUAUCCCAGAUGAUAACGGUUUGCCUCUAUGUCCCCACCCAAAUCUCAAGUUGUAAUCCCCAGUGUCAGGGGAGAGAAGUAAUUGGAUUAUGGGGUGGUUCCCCCAUGCUGUUCCCAUGAUAGUUUUAUAAAUGGUAGUUUUUCCCGCGCUUACACGUGCCCUCACCUGCUGCCAUGUAAGACGUGCCCGCUUCCCCUUCCACCAUGAUUGUAAGUUUCCUGAGGCUUCCCCAGACAUGCGAACUGUGAGCCAAUUAAAUCUCUUUUGUCAGUUACCCAGUCUUGGGUAUUUCUUUAUAGUGGUGUGAAAACGGACUAAUAUAAUACACCAGGCCAGCUCUAUGCCAGUCCCCUAAAAGAAUCACCUGCUAGAGAUGCUCAGUAGCAGUGCUGGGUACCAGCCCUUCUUCCUGCAGCUUCCAAAAGCUGAUAGCCAAUACUCUAUUUCACCUGCCCAUAAGUGGGCAGCAUCCGGUGAUAGAGGCUGCUGCUGGUCUGGAGAGGAAAGAGGAGAGGCCCUUUCAGGAAUGCAGUCCCUGGAGGUUUCUCCUUCCCUGCCUGAAGGAUUCCAGAGGUCUGAGAUAAACCCCAGGCUGUAGUCCAGCAAAGAGCUUUGGGCUGUAUUCCUCUGGGAGACAGCAAUUGCUAGAGAGAGAUUUUAUUUUAAAACCCCCAUUCCCACUGCGGGAGGGAGCAGUGGUAGCAGGCAUUGGGAAAAACUGUGUUUGAAUCAGGAAGGAGGCAUUCAGCUAGAUGUGCGUAUCCUUUCACACUUUCUGCUCUUCCACAUUUGUUCCCUAUCGUACCCUUAAGAAUUAUUACUGAAAAACUCCAAGGGCAUGUGUUAAGAUCACAGUGAUUCCUAACAUCAACUCUCCUUCUAUGUUUUUUCCUCCCAAGGCUUUCCACUGGGUUGAAUUUUAAAUUUGAACAAUGGUUCAAAGGCUGAGAGACAAACUGCUCAUUACUGGAAAGAGUGCCAGGAAUCCUGGGAAGCAGGCCUCCCUCCCCACCGGAGCACUGCACCUCAUAGUAAUGGCCUCUUUCAUAGUCACGGAAAGGUUGGAUCAGCGUUUCUUUUCAUUCCUGUCUUUUUUCAGGGACUGCUGGGAUAAAAGGAAGUCUA